rnacentral:rRNA from 1 species
CCUACGGGAGGCAGCAGUGAGGAAUAUUGGUCAAUGGACGAGAGUCUGAACCAGCCAAGUAGCGUGAAGGAUGACUGCCCUAUGGGUUGUAAACUUCUUUUAUAAAGGAAUAAAACGAGGCAGGUGAGCCUUUUUGAAUGUACUUAAUAAAUAAGGAUGGGCUAACGCCGUGACAGCAGCCGCGGUAAUACGGAGGAUCCGAGCGUUAUCCGGAUUUAUUGGGUUUAAAGGGAGCGUAGAUGGGUUGUUAAGGUAGGGGUGAAAGUUUGCGGCUCAACCGUAAGAUUGCAAUUGAUACUGGCAGUCUUGAGUACAGUUGAGGUAGGCGGAAUUCGUGGUGUAGCGGUGAAAUGCUUAGAUAUCACGAAGAACCCCGAUUGCGAAGGCAGCUUACUAAACUGUGACUGACAUUGAUGCUCGAAAGUGUGGGUAUCAAACAGGAUUAGAUACCCUAGUAGUC